CCCUGAAGGACAAUAAUGGCCUCAUAGCUUUGGUUAACUUGGGUUUGGUGGCCAUUUUGAACCUGGAAGUCCCUCUCAGUGAUUCCUUUCCAGAUGCUGGUGCCCCAGUAUCUUCAAGUAUUCGGUACAGGAUUGAUUAGAAAGAAAAAUGGUAGCCGUGCGACUGACAUCAGUUUGCUUGGCACUCGGAAAGCAGUUUCAAUUCCUACAAUCCCGAGAGAGAGACAGAGAGAGAGAGAGACAAAGAGAGAGAAAGAGAGAGAGAGAAAGCAGCUUGCAAAACCUGGCAUCAGAUCAAGAAGUCAAACGCUGCCAAAGACACGCAUUUACAACGAUUAGCUACCUUUUUCUUUUAUCCCUCCCAUAGGUGGUUAUCUAAUCGCCAGUUUUUGUUUACUGGAAUCUCUCUGUUUAGAAACUGCACCUGACAUUAGCUGGAGCUAGCAGCGAUGAGGUAAAAAUGUCAAAAGAAAAAGAGAGAGAGAGAGAGAGAGAGAGAGAGAUAGAAAAAAAAAAUAUAUAUAUAUAGAGUGAGAGAAGCGAGUAUAGGUGAGCGGCGUCCUAUCAGAUACACUAAUAAGAUAAGCUAGGAUACACUCACACGUAGAACUUCAUAAGCUUUUAAUACUUUUAGCUCCAUCUACAAGCAGAACCUCCAAAGUGUAAGCACAAUCUGUGGAGUUCACUUCCCGUAGGUUCGACGAGACGUACACGCCGAGAGCCGGAGCUGACGAGGAUUAAAGGACGGAGAACGAGAUGUUCAGAUCUCCAGCAGAAACUCCAGCAUCUUGUGUGAUAGCUUUUCAUCCUAGUUUGGAUUUUGUUGAAUCAGUGACGUCUCCGAGGAUGAGAAAGCGUGUGUGUAGGGAGUUUCGAAUCAAAUCACACACUGAGAACAUACCGUGGAUUAAGGAAAAAUACAUCGAUUUAUGUUUUGUACUUACAAUUAAAAAUCCUAGAUAUAACGGUUACAUAAAACAAAAGCGAUACGUAUAGUAAAGUUGCAAGGGUUGGCCACACGAUAUAUUAAAACUCUCUCAAACUUCUUUUUUUUUCCCUUCAGUUUUUCAUUUAAUUACUCUCUCCGUCUCUCUGUUCUUAAGUGGAUUUAAUAAUAACGACAACAACAACAAUAUAAUCUCAUUAUUGCACUUAAAGGUGUUGGCGGUGGUGGGAUUAAAAAAAAAGAAGAGGAAAAACGUGAGUAAAAAUGUGUUAUUUUAACAACAGUAAUUUAUACUGCAUAAUAAAAGAAAUAAUAUAAAGGAAAUGAAUAUGAAUUUAAUUAUGAUUAUGAAGUGAUUAAAGUGUCCUUAUAAACGAAAUGUAAUUAUUCUUAUAAAACUCAUGAUGCUUCUAAAUUGAAUUUUAAAUACUUCAAUAUUAGUAAAACAUAAUAAACAAUUAACAUCUCUUCAAUUAUUUUUAAACGUCUAUGUAGCACAGACAUAUUCCUUAUUCUAUAAAUAUAACUUAGGUUAACCUGUAACUUGUAUAAAUAAAGGGGCGGGGCUAUAACACUGGGGCUCUGACGUCAUCUCGGUACUUUGUGACGCUUAUGCGUUUGCGUUUUAUCCAAUCGGAUGUGUACAAUUCGGUCACGUGAUUUAGACUUCGAUAAUUGAGGAAAAUUACGGUUAAUUUAAGUUUGUUAGUUAAAAAAAAGGGAGAAUUAUUAAAAACGUUUUGGUGAUAAACAUCUAAAUGUCGCCCAAAAGGAUAGUAAUAAGACGAGAAACUUUGAGGCGGUGUUCUUCCCUGACAACACAAAAAAAAAGUCCAGGCUGACCGGUGGAGGAGUGACAGGAGCGCAGGAGCCGGACGCUCAGGUGGACACGGCACAGAGUCGAGCGGAGCGCAAGACGAGAUGGGUUGUGGCACGCCGCAUCUCCAGCCGGCCAACUAGCUUCGCUGUCAGGACAAUUGUCUGAAGAUCACACCGAGGAAUUAGAGGAUGCUUAUCUAUAUCACCGCUUUCAUCCGUGCAACAGAAAACAAUUACAUGAACCGGAUUCAGAACAGGAGCAAAGCACACAUGUACGAUAGUAACGGUCUCUAGCUUUGUGGUUUUUUUUUAGUCUGUUGUUUCUAAUUGAAAAAAUAAAAGCUGGAUGAAGGACAAGAACCUUUUGAAACAAGUUAGUAAUAGCUGUAAGAUUUUCCUUUGCCUCGUCUCCGAUCAAGGAAUGAAUAUUUGAGUUAUUUGAAGUAAUUUUCAGCCAUUUUUUUUUAGCUCUAAUAAUGUGAUGCGCGAUAGUAAACAAAUAUAAAUUUUACUCUGAGACUCGAUAAACAAACCGGCGUAGACUUGUCCCAAGAUUAGGUCUGAGAGUGUAGAGGUGUGGGUGUGUGAGAGAGAGACCAGAGCGGGUCAAGGACAAACACAGCUGCUCUGUAUAAAUAUUCAGAUUUUAAAUGAGACCUUUUGAACAUUUACCACUUGUCCAGUACAAUGUAGUGUUGCAUCAUCUAAUGCAAUUUCCAUAUAAAUGGAGUUUUGUUGUACUAAAAAAAUGUGCAGCGAGCAGCUUCACCAGCUCACCAGAUCAGGGUCAUGAGCUUGAGGACAGUGUGUAACGUGGGUUUCUUUCAGGUUCUCCAGUUUCCUGCUAAACACAUGCAGGUUAGAUGGCAUCAUGACUCUGAAAGAUCAAACGAUGGUUAAUGAUGAAACGGGGAACAGCCAGCAGGACUCGAAGUGCACACCGUAAAGCAGGGACGUCUCCACACGCCUUCUCCGACUUCUUUUUUUCACGCGCGAGUCAGAGGAAAAGAGAAAAAAGAAAGAAAAAAAAACAGCCCCUCACUUCCAAAUAUUGUCUCACCGCUCUGUCGUGAUUUUUCUGUUUCUUUUUCCUAUAUAUUGAUCUCCAGAUGGACACAAAUGAAUUUUACCCCUCCUUCUCCUGUCCGUGUACGAGCGUAGAGAUUGUAAUACUCUUCAGUUAUUAGAAAAACGCACAGCGCAGAGGAACGACGACUGCAGAGGCUCUGAACACCAGCCAGAAUUCUAUUACAGGAAGACCGCAUCAGAUACAAUGAAGUAUUUUCAAGGGAUCGAGAGACAACAAUGUAUAUAAAAAAAUCCCAUAAAUAAAAAAAUAGCAGACAAUCUUAAGAGCAUUAGGAGUUUGAUCCUCUUCAAGGCGAGUCCACCGGGGACUUUCACGGCACUAAUUAUUCAUAAAAAUGAAAUGCCAUAUUAGUUUGUCUCGAUGUAAUUUUAUUUUGACCGAGUCCCCCCCCCCCCCCCCUUACGAGGCAGCUUCGCAAGACGAAUGCGAUGGAUUUAUUUAUUUAUUUUCUUUUUUAUGGCCCACUUUUCAUUUACAAGUGAUGAAUACGGAUAUAUUAUUAUUUGUUUAUGUUUAUGUAAAUAUAUCUUACAGUCCUAGAUCUAUUUAGCCACAGAAUCAAAAGUCCACGCGUUGAACCCGAACCUUGUUCAAUUACAAGCCCUAACUCAUGAGAUCUGAACAACAAACUUGCUCAUUCAGUACUUUUGGUUUGUUUUCACCCAAGUAGGAGGAGUUUAAUCAGGUAGGACUCCACCCCAACAACUUGCGGUUCAACAUACUUGUGAUUUUUAUACCACCGCAGUUUGCAAAUAAUUAAUUCUUUUAAAAAAAUCUGUUUAUAGAUACGUUAAUCAGUUCCUGUUUUUACUUUCGUCAUAGCAGAUAUAAAUAGCCUUUCCUUCACCAGCCUCUCUUUCUUUUUUCCCUUUCUAUUAUAAUUAAGACAGCUUAUCAUUUUGCUAAGAAACAGGAACGUCUUUCCCAUGUGGGAAAACUUGUAUACGGCUUUGCCUCGGACUGUUAAAAAAGUGCCAGCACUUGAGAAUUCUUCCAUAAAUGCUGAAUGAAUAUCUCUUCCAGGACAAUGGCAAUCUAUCAACACGUGUAUUAACGAGUUGCUUGGUAGCGUUAUUGCUGUCAUAGAAAGUUCUACGGUCAGACUACGCAAUCUUGUACUACUUAACGAUCGGCGACCGUUCUUGAGCAUUUCGCCGAAAGAGCAGAAACAGCUCGGUUCAGCAGAACUGCAUGGGUUUUGACAGGGAGGGAGAGGGGACUGCGAGCUGCCCGAGACGUCCUCAGAGUCACAGACACGCACCUUGUUAAGACUGUUAGGAUCAACGCCGUGAUUGAUCUACACGUCAAAUCCUUAACUGAAGCUCCAGUCCACGGCUCAUUUUAUGCUCUGAGGUCAAUUAACGAGCUGCAGAGGUGAAGGAGGAACCCGGGCCAGCGGCGGCGCCUUUGUCUCAUGCGUGGACUCUAUUCGAGCAUGCGUUUUAGCCCUACCAUCCACCUUUUAUGCAUGCUGCUUCGUUUGCCUGUCCUUCUCUUUCUUCGCUCAUCAUGGGGGAGGGUUUGGCCCUCAAGGACAGUAUUAUGUGUCUUAUGUAUCUUGCAUGGACGUGAACCCGGAGCCGAGGCAAACGUACACGCAUACAAAUGAGGGAUAAGGACACAUGUUUUUGAGCAUUUUUCCCCCCUCAAAUUAGCAGUAGAGGAGAAAAAAAGAACUAAACAGGAAUAAACUGAUUGUUCCACAUUAGCCUACUUAAGGCCACUCCAUCGCUGACAGACCAUAAAGUACGUCUUUAGGUUUCCGCGUCUUGCCGGCAUUAAAUAUAGAUGCUGUCGGAUUAACAUUUCACAAGAGAGCAUGAUUAAUGGGAGGUUUGACUCACUAGCGCCGCUCCUUAUUCCGUCACUAGCAAGCUAAUGGGCUUUGAUUUUAUUCAGAUCAUCCUUUACCCAUCAACCUAACUAUCUGCUCUUCACGGGAAGAGGGGUUUUCCCAUCCACGACUACAGAAUCCGAGUACAAACGAUGACGAGUUCGAAGAGGCUUUACGCCACCGUGGCCUCAUCCGAACAUCAAAGACUCAACACGAGGCUAGAUGCUGAUCUCUCCGUUUUCUUGUAAACCAUUUAUUUUUGAUUCUGCAUCAGCAAUAAAUGACACAUCGAUACUGUCAAAGCUUCUCCUUUCUCCUUGAAAGACGUGCCCAGAAAGGGUUAAAGCCCCUUCCCCCUGGCUUUGCCUCCCACUCUGUCUAGCCCUCACCCUUUUUCUGUCUCCCUGCAUCCAUUUGCAAAUGAUCUCGCUUGUCUGCAUAUUGUCACUUGCAGCCUGCCCGCACAUUCAUCAACUGUCGGCCGGUGCUCGGCGGCGCCCCCCGCGCCCUCCACACUUAAUUGUUCCUACUCUGACCUGCGAGAAUAGAGAAUGAUGUCCCUCUCUUGUGCUGGUGCCGGGCGACGAGGAUUAACAACUCUGCGGGGAUGGACGAAGCCUGUCACGGUCACGUAGCCUCUCGUUUCACAUACCCCCCACCCCUCGAGGUUUCUUCGGGGCAACUCCAUCCCCCCAACGCUACACUAUACAGUAGAUUUGAGAUGGCCCUACAUGUUUCAGAUUCUUAUUGCAUGAGAUGGCUCGUGUGGCAGGUUUUGUUUCCGUAUUUAUAACAUACUCCCUUUUUGAAAUAGGAACGAUUUCAUGUUCUAGUGUUAGAAACUCGAUAGUGUUUGAGAUACUCCAGACUCCUACUGAAUCUAAACGUACACGCUAAUAACCAGGAAUAGUUUAGCAAGACCUUUGUUCGAAGGUAGAGGCUUCCAUACCGCUGCCUCACCUUCUUCCACGCCUGUCUACUUUAACCAGUACCACAUUUUACAAGAGCUUGUGUGGUUUAUAGAGUUGUGUUUUACAUGUUUGUCAGCUUUAGCUGCACCUCAGCAUUGACCAACAGCUUCAAAGUCAUCACCGAGAAGUCUAAAGAAUUGUGUCCUCGAUUUGCAAAAUUCCGGCAACAAACGGCCACAGGUUGGUAAAAACGCUGCUAUUGUAGAGCAAGACCUGCCCCUUAGAGGUGAGACGUGUACGUUGAAGAGCACAUUUCAUCGGACAGGCACAAGACUAGUACAGGGUGAACCGUUAUAUAUUGGUGUCUACAGUGGAUGUAAGGUGCCACAUGACCACAGCAUUUGCAUUAACGAGGAGUUCUAAACGAUGCCGCCGCAUUGGCUAAGACAAGACAUGAAUUAUAAACGGUUUUGCUGUUGCAAAAUACUAUUUCCAGUCGCCUUAAACGGGCUUAAAAAUUAAAUGCUACUGAAAAGGAAUAGGAAAGCAGCUUGAACUUUCAAGCAGAACAGUUCGGGCCAGUGGGGAGCAGAAAAGGGGAUGCUUUUAGGCGAGAGAUGCUAGUUCGAGGCCACGCGAUGCCAAAAAUCAAAAGCUUUGAAGGCUAGUCUCUCUGAGCAGAUAUCCAACAAAUAUUUACCCAAGUAAAGUCUGCAGUGCAUAAACAAGCACAGCUUUAAAAAGUGCUACUUAAAAAACAAAUCACAGAAAAUUGCUUGGGAGUAAUUCACCGUGAGCUGCUCUUAGGAGGCGUAACUUGUGUUCAGAUACACUCUGUGAGCUGGGAAAAGACCCUCAUUUUGGUGUAGGUAUUAAUUCACCUUUUUAAAUCCUAAACAGCACAGAGAGAGAAAAGAAGACCGAGAAAAGAGCAGGUUCUCCUGUUCUAGUUUUAAGAAACGUUAAGUCACUGUGUAUAAUAUUAAGCAUUCUUCUUAUUGUUGUUGUUGUUGUUGUUGGCGGUAUUAUAAUUAUAAUGAUCACAUACAAUUCUGCCUUCUGCAUUGGACCUGAUGAUGUUAAUGCUGUGAAUGCAACAAACUUUUUGGUGAAGAACGGCAAAGAACUUCAGCGGAAUCGAUGAAGUAGGAGUAAAAGCUUACUAACCCUGCUGGGUUGGUUGGAUGGCUAGAUGGAGAGGUGAAGGGCUGUAUGAUUGAGUGGAUGGGUGGUUGGUUGAGUUUGAAGGUGGAUUAAAGAACGGAUAGGUUAUUAAAUUGGUGGAUGAAGGGACAAUUGGCCAAAUGUAUGGUUAGAUGAAGUGAUGGUGGAUUGUUUACAAUGAACAAAUGAAGGAUUCGUUCCGGAUGGUUGUGUGUCUAUGUCUAUGUAUAAUACAAAUAUUCAUGUCUGCUUUUAUCUUUCUCUUCUCUCUCACAAGCUUUUACUAACCACAUACACGAGUUUAGUCCCCCCCCCCCCCCCAACUGAUCUACAGUCUUUAUACUGUAUAAGUUCACACACAUUACAGAAAAGCAAUUCUCAUUUAGAGUGGAUGUUUAGACUGAAUCAUACCUUCCGAAAAGUUGGUUUUCUCAAGAAAAGAAAAGAAAAAAAACCGAGCCUGAGAUAAGAGGAAAUGCAACAGCUUAAUGGCAACCACUUCAAACAAACAGUCAGCAGGUGCCAUUGCAGUUCAAGAUCUUUUUAUACAUUACCGUUAGCACAAGAACAAUUUUAAACGGUCUGCCCAGAAACCACAGGCAGCGUACAGUCCAACAUCAUCUCACCUUUACAGACCCAAAGAUCUGAGUUGUGAGAAGGCUGCAAACGCCUGCAGCGCUCUCAAAACUGCGUGUGGCUGCUGCGACAGCCUGAACAUUUUCACCGCUAUUUCGGGUCAUACUACUACUGUCCUCCCUGUAAACAUGACAAUUUCUCUAGUUUAAUUCACUAGUUUAAUCCCACACACUCUAUCUGCUCUGCUGCAAAACUGCACCCACACAAAGUUUCUAUUUUUCUCACGCUUUGGCAGUUACGUGGUAGCAGUAAGCUAUGGGACCCUAACGCCAUCCUAAUAAUGGUCUAAAAUUAAAACUAUAUUGAUGUAUGGAGAUGUUUAUGGAGUACAGCUUUACUUCUGUGACGGGAAGGAGUUUGUAAAUCGAGAAUCUAAGAGAUUAAAACAUCCAUCCUUCUAUAAAAAAAAGAAUGAUACGUGAAUACGAUGUAUAGACUGAAUUGUGUUAGCAUAGAUGGUGUUUUUUGCUCGCGUAUUUAUUUUUCACCAUCGCUUUGUUUUUGUGAUGUCACACCACCACACCCAGGCUCAUAAGCAUCACUGUUUGUUCCUACGCUGAAAAUGAGACAAGAACGAGAAGACGGUCAACCCAAGGACAUUUAGUUUCAUACAGUCGCACUUGCUACAGCCGCUCAAGUCCGUUUUCUUGCACAGAUUCAUGUUCGUCUGUAAUCCUGUCCAGGAUAUAAAGUCACUCCAGAAGACAAAAGUUAUUGCAGUCACACGUGACCAUCUGUCACUGUGCCAAACUGCCCCUGAACUCCAGAAGAACUUCCAUUAAUACACGAUGCUGUGGACUUUGUUUAAAUUCACUCCAUAUUUAAAAAAAAAAUCCCCUUUCGCUCAGCUGUCAGAUCGCACUUUGUCAAAACCGGGAACGGAUUCAUCGGAGGUCAGGUUCGGAAAACCGAAAUAGCCACGCUGACCUCGAACCUUCGACCGCGACGGCUUUGCACUCACGGACAAAGGACGCGACAUAUCUGUAAAUACGUGCAUGACAAUAGGUUUCCGUUCGAAUGCACUCAGAUCCAUUGUACAUUAAUAGAGUGAGUGUUUUAUUCAUGAGCCAUAUUACGCUAGCGCAGGCUGAGAAAGCGCUGCACGCUCCUUGCUCUCAGACGUCACACGAGCGAUCCUAACCACACCGGACAAGUUCGGCACUGCCCCCGUUUACCACUGCCCACCCUUCUGCCCAUUAUAAUAAUCUAUUCAAGGAUUAAAGGUUUUUUUUUAUCUCCAAUCCCAUAAAUAAUGAAUCCAGUGUUUCAAAAUUUAAUUGCCCCGAAUUAAAUGAUUCAAGAUAAUGUUUCUUUCAUAAAUUUGUAAUGGUGGUAAGGGGCAAAAGUACAUUAGAUAAAAUCCAAACCCUUGUUCUUAUCACUGGAGGAAAACAGCGGAGGAGUGACCUUACAUCAUCAACGGAAGUCUCCAGACGUUUCCAGGUGAAAUCUGUGUGGGAUUUUAAUCUCAAAGAGUUUCCAAAGAGGCUUCUCUACACUCCUGAUGGAUCCCUCCGAGGACACCGAGAGAAAUAAAGGAUUUGAGGAAGAGCUGAGAUACAGAUGCUGAAAUCCUUUAACACUAAACGAAACGUCAAGGAGACUUCCAGCAGCGUCCGGCAUGAACGCGUGUGGAAUGCGAACGAUUUUCGACUUGUAUGUUGAAGAACAUGUAGGAACACAGGACGUUAAAGCUAAUAAGUAAGUAGCAGAUUUAAAAAUAUUAAGGUGACCAGUGGAAUGCUGCUUCCCCACGUAGGGAGCGCAGUGUUCACUUACGCCUCAGUGAUUACAACGCUUCAUUUAUUCAUGUUUUAUGAUGUCACACUUAUUGCCACUUAUUUCCGUUUUACAGAGAAAACAAAAACUUUUAACUAUUGUUAGUGUUAGGGGCUUUUUACGCCUAGUCACUUCAUGCGUUUUCUGUGACCCGAUAGCUAUCCAAGGGUUAAAAAGACCAGGUCUAAAUGCCCUCCGAAACUUUUUCGAAACGGAUAUAAAUCCGAUCGCUCAAACCCCUUCAGGAGGUGGUCUGGGACGCUUUUCAGAUGAAACUGGACAGGUGUAAAUGAAUGUGGUUGUUCAAGCCACAUACGUCAGUGCUAUACUCCUCCCAAACGGAGGUACGUCACUCGCAGGUGACUCGCGAGUCGCGCCAGAAACAACAUGGACGACACACAGGGAUGUUUUUUUGUAGCAUAAACGUAGCAUAAAAGUUUUUUCUUCUUUUCGAUUGCAUUCUGAAAACCGCAUACCCCAAAGCGUGUUCCAUUUCAAUUACCCCAGAAAUGAGAUAAAAUAUAUUAGCAUUUUGGGUGGGAGUAGAAAGAUCGGAUCGAUAUCCGAUAUAUCCGUGUAAAAAGGCCCUUACAAAUUGCUCCUAACAAAAGUGUCACUCGCUCAUGUCGGUUUCUUCUCUACAACAUUAAAAGGAUUCGGCCAUUUUUGUCCACACAGGCUGCUCAGGCACUUGUUCAGUCUCUUGUCAUUUUUAGACUGGAUUACUGCAACGCACUGCU